GAUGAACGCUGACAGAAUGCUUAACACAUGCAAGUCAACUGUGGCGGACGGGUGAGUAACGCGUAAAGAACUUGCCUCACAGAUAGGGACAACAUUUGGAAACGAAUGAUAAUACCUGAUACUGUGAGAGAGCUUUGCGUCCCAUUAGCUAGUUGGAGAGGUAACGGCGCACCAAGGAGAUGAUGGGUAGCCGGCCUGAGAGGGUGAUCGGCCACAAGGGGACUGAGACACGGGCCUUAGUCAGACUGGAGGAAGCAGUGGGGAAUAGUGGACAAGGUGCCAAAGUCUGAAGCAGCAAUUCGGUUUGCACGAUGAAGUUUUCGGAAUGAAGAGUGCUUUCAGUUGAGAUGCGUUACCAACAGAAGAAGUGACGGCUAAAUACGUGCCAGCAGCCGCGGUAAUUC
rnacentral:rRNA from 1 species